UAGGGAAUCUUCCACAAUGGACGCAAGUCUGAUGGAGUAACGCCGCGUGAGUGAAGAAGGUUUUCGGAUCGUAAAGCUCUGUUGUUAGAGAAGAACACGAGUGAGAGUAACUGUUCAUUCGAUGACGGUAUCUAACCAGCAAGUCACGGCUAACUACGUGCCAG
rnacentral:rRNA from 1 species